rnacentral:rRNA from 1 species
GAUGAACGCUGGCGGCGUGCCUAAUACAUGCAAGUCGAGCGAACAGACGAGGAGCUUGCUCCUUUGACGUUAGCGGCGGACGGGUGAGUAACACGUGGAUAACCUACCUAUAAGACUGGGAUAACUUCGGGAAACCGGAGCUAAUACCGGAUAACAUGUUGAACCGCAUGGUUCAACAGUGAAAGACGGUCUUGCUGUCACUUAUAGAUGGAUCCGCGCCGCAUUAGCUAGUUGGUAAGGUAACGGCUUACCAAGGCAACGAUGCGUAGCCGACCUGAGAGGGUGAUCGGCCACACUGGAACUGAGACACGGUCCAGACUCCUACGGGAGGCAGCAGUAGGGAAUCUUCAGCAAUGGGCGAAAGCCUGACGGAGCAACGCCGCGUGAGUGAAGAAGGUCUUCGGAUCGUAAAACUCUGUUAUUAGGGAAGAACAAAUGUGUAAGUAACUAUGCACGUCUUGACGGUACCUAAUCAGAAAGCCACGGCUAACUACGUG